UACGUAGGGUGCGAGCGUUAAUCGGAAUUACUGGGCGUAAAGCGUGCGCAGGCGGUUUUGUAAGACCGAUGUGAAAGCCCCGGGCUUAACCUGGGAAUGGCAUUUGGGACUGCAAGGCUUGAGUGCGGCAGAGGAGACUGGAAUUCCUGGUGUAGCAGUGAAAUGCGUAGAUAUCAGGAGGAAUACCGAUGGCGAAGGCAGGUCUCUGGGCUGACACUGACGCUCAUGCACGAAAGCGUGGGGAGCAAACAGG
rnacentral:rRNA from 1 species